rnacentral:rRNA from 1 species
UACGUAGGGGUGCGAGCGUUGUCCGGAAUUAUUGGGCGUAAAGGGCGCGUAGGCGGGUCAUUAAGUUUGUUGUUAAAUCCUCUGGCUUAACCAGAGACAAGCAAUAAAAAACUGGUAACCUAGAGCGUGAGAGAGAGAAGUGGAAUUCCCCGGAGUAGCGGUAAAAAUGCGUAGAUCUCGGGGAGGAACACCAAUGGCGAAGGCUGCUUCUUGGCUCAUUGCUGACGCUGAGGCGCGAAAAGCGUGGGGGAGCAAACAGG